rnacentral:lncRNA from 1 species
UGAAGUUCUUGCAAAAUUCACUCUAAUCCCUGUUUGGUUUAUGUGAAAACUGAGCAAAAUUAAGAGUUUAUUUUCAUCCAAAAGACUAAAAAAAUCACACAAUGAUUUCGUUGGCUUUCUCUUCUUUUUCCUACUCUUUCCCAUCAACCAAAUGGUUUAUUUAACUCACAGAAGAAAACCCAGUUCCUAAAAGCUUAAAAACUACUAAAUCUGAAUUGUUUUGAAUUGCAAUUUUGCAGGAGUUUCUUCAGUUUCCAUGGAUAUGAAGGACAAGAAAUUGACUGUAAUUGGAGAUGUGGAUCCAGUAAGCAUAGUGGGCAGGUUGAGGAAGCUUUGCCACCCAGAGAUAUUAUCAGUUGGCCCAGCAAAAGAGCCAGAGAAGAAGAAGGAGGAACCCAAGAAAAAAGAGGACCCUAAAGAUCAAUGGGCUGAUCUUGUUAAAGCAUACCAAGCUUAUAAUCCUCACUAUACCACACACUAUUUUGUUAGAAGUGCGGAAGAAGACCCGAAUGCUUGUGUCAUUUGUUAAUCACCAGAUCAUAGAAGAAUCCAAAAAGGCAAAAGCAAUAGUAUCUGUGUGUGGGUAAUUAUAGAUAUGGGUCUUCUAUAAUGAUGGUGCACCCAAGAACAGAAGCCUUAUGUACAGUACUGGAUGGUGGGUGUUUGAUUUUCUAUUGUAUGCCAGUUUUCAUUUGGAAUGUAUCAAAUUUUGGGUUGUUUUUUUUUUCCAUGAAUGAAGUAAGAACUUGGAGUUGUUAUGAUAAUUGAAUAUUCUGUCUCCUUGGUGAUGGAAAUUUGAGAUGACGACAUAGUAAAGAAUGUCUCCUUUUGUUUCAAUUAUUUCGUAUCCUUUUAAGCUUUUCGCCAACAAAAAAAAAAAAAAAAAAAAAAAGGAAGAAGAGAAAGGAAACUUGGAUACUUUAUUAUUGAGUGGCUCACUACCAUACAAUUACAAUCCAUUGAUGAGGCUGAAAAGUUUGCUCUUCUUCUAUUCAUUUCAAAUUAUUGUGACCAUUUGUCUCUCAAUUCCACUUUUGUGGGAGUUUCUAAAGAAGAUAUUUACAUAUUUUGUGAUGAUGGAUACAAGAAUUGAUCUUUGUUUUUUUUUGGUAUUAUUGAGAAGUGUCUCAAAUUUUUAAUUAAUAUAAAAAAGUAAUUGAAAAUAUUUUUAUAAAUAUUAUAUGUUAUUAAGAAAAGGUAAUGUGAUAGGCAUAACUUGUGAAGAGUAUGUUCAGGACCAUCUAUCGGUAUAUGCAUGCAUGAAUCACUUUAAAACAUUAUAUACCCUUUUUAUUCUCUUUCAUUUACAGGUAUAUGCAGGAAUCACUUUAAAACAUUAUAUAUAUUUUUUUUAUAUGUGGAUCGUUUUAUUUUUGUGUUCUUGUGUUAACAUGUUUACAUUGAAGCAACACAUAUAUAUGUUAUAAAUGCAGAAGUGAUUUGUGCCAAAUUUUUGGAAUCUAAGUGAUUGGUUUUUAGUGGGUUAUCAAACCAAUGUUGGCUCUUUUAUUCUCUCAUCAUCUACCUCUUUAGUUUUCAGGUUAAACUGAGCUUAAACUUAGAGAAAAUAUCUUAUAAAUAAACAUAUUAUAAAUUUUUAUUAUAUAAUAUAAGAUACAAAUCAUCACGAAAAAAUUAUUGUGGAACUUCAAGUGAUAAAUAAAAUCUUUCAAAUUUUCUAAUUAAUAAUAAUUUUAUAUCAUGUAUUAUAUAAAUUUAUGCAUCUUCUCAUUUUUUUUAAUAAAACUGAAUACAAAUUUUGUUAGUUGACAUUAAUAAUAAAAUAAAAAAUUUAAAAAUUAAGAGUAUAAGUAAAACUAAAAUAUUGAAAAAUUAAAUACAAUUAAAAUGAAAUAUUUAAAAAUUAAAUACAAUUAAAACCGAAAAACUAAUUUUUUUUUUAAAUAUUGGUUCCCAUUGUAUUUUCAACUAUUUCUAGAUAUCUCUAUUUUCUAUUAUUGUGUUUUAGUGAAGUCAAAGUCAACAUUUUAUUUUUAUAUUUUUAGUUUUAAAGUUUUUUUUUAGUUUUAAUUUUUAAAAUUUCUUAUUUUUUUAUUUCAAAUUAAUUUUUAUGAUAAAAAAAAUUGUUAAUUAGUAUUCAGAAAUACUUAUAAAAAAGUGCAUAUAUUUUAAAAUAUUUUUAAAUAAAUGAAGAUAAAUCAUAUUUAUAAAAUUUAGAAUUCUUUUUUCUAUAUUCUUUCAAAUUGACGGGCUAAAACCCAUUUUUCUUUUUAUUAAAAAUUAAUUAAUAUUUCAUUAUAUAAUAUAAAUAAAAAAUGUUUUAUUUUAUUUUUUGGUGUUGGGUAUAUAUAAGGAAAAGAAAAUGGAAACACACACUUAUGAAAAAAAUUCUUCAAAUUUUGUUCUUUUUUAAAUAAACUUGAAAACUUUGCCAAACACUUAAUAAAUCUUGGGUGGUAAUUUUUUAUGAAUAAAAUUUAUUUAUUUUUAAACUUAUCAUAGUUUUUCAACUUCUGCUUAAUGGAUUAGUCUAUAGAAGGCUAAGACAGAAAAUCCAAACAGAUAGCUUUAUUAUUCAUUGAUUUCAAGAUAUGGAAACUAUCUGCCUUUUAAUGGGUCAUUACAUUCCCAUAAAUCAUAAAAUUUAUUUCCUUUUUUUCCUUCAUUUUCUUAGGUUCCCAAUAACCUUUUUUUACUUCUCUUUGUCAAAUCCCUUCAAGUUCAUCUAUUUAUUUUCUUCCUUUUCAAAUUCACAUGUUUAAGCUCUUGCUUUUAAACAUUUGAAUAAAGAAUAAGAACGAGAAAUCUGAGAGUUGCUCCACUCUCGUGUCAAUCACUUUUAUUCCUCUCAUUAGACCAUUCGUAACACUUAUAGUCAUAACUGGAUUAUUUCCCAAUAAUUAUUGUAUCUAUGAGUCACAUUAAUUUAUUGAUCAACAAAAUCUCAAUCCUUAACUACCAAUGCAUUGUAAAUAUUGAGCAUCUUGUCUCGGAAAAAAAAGCUACAUCCUGGACUAAUAAUUUAAGUGAUACACAAUCAAUUUUGUUUUUUUAUUAAAUUAUUUGUUAGAAUAAAAAUAAAAAUAAAAAAUAUUUUUUUAGUCAUUCCUUAUGGUGGUAUUACGGAUUUAUAUAUAAUACAAACACUGUUAAAACAUUCAUCAUGUUUUCAAUUACUUUUUAAAAGGAGAAUUACCCAAAAGGGUGGGCUGGGCAGAACAAUUACUAGAAAGGGUGAUAUCUUUUAAUAAUUCUUGAGGAAUACUUUAAUAGGCUUAAUAUACCAAAACUGCCCUUUAACUAAAACUUUUAAAAUUCAAAGCAUUUAAAGCACUUCACUUGAUUUGUCAAUACAUUUAUGGUACAUGGGUCCCACAUUUAUUGUAAUUAUUGAUAUUUAAAUUUUAAAUCAAAAUUUUGGGUUUAACCCUUACAAUUAUAUAUAAUUUGUUAUUUAAAUUUACUAUUUAAAACAAAAAUACUUUUAAAAACUAUUUUCAAAAUAUCAUUUAUUGUUUUUUUACCUUUUUUUUUAUUUUAUUCUAAUUUUUAAUUUUAUGAAGAAAAAAAAUAAGUUUAUAAUUAUAUAAUAAAAAUGAUGAUUUUUUCACAUAUAUAUAUAUAUAUAUAUAUAUAUAUAUAUAUAUAUAUAUAUAUUAUAAUUUUAAAUUGAUAAAUUAUGUUUUUGUAUUAAAUUUAAGGAAGAUAAAAUAUUUAAUUUUUCAUUCAGAUUCUCUAAAAAGAAUAAGAAAAUGAUAGAUAAUGUUUAAUCAUUUUUUAUUUUUAUAAUAAAAUAAUUUAAAAAAAUUUAUAUGAUUUUUUUUCCUUUGCAUUUUUUAUUUUUUAUUUUAAUUUUCAUAUAAAUUUUUUUUCUCAAUGCAUAUGAUGUUAAUAUAUUUAAUAUGUUGAAUAUUAAUAAGGUAUAAUAGGUGAUCCUCAAGAUUAUUACUUUUAUUAUAAAAUACAGACACAACAAAAAUAUGUUAUAAUUACAAUAUAAAUACACUUACAUUACAAUAAAACCUAAUUAAGAAAUUUAUGAAAAUUUUUAUAAAAAUGGUAAUUUUGCAUGAUCAUACCAUAUUUCACAACAUACCUAUAUUAUAAAUAAUUUCUGAAAUAAAAUGAAAUACUAAUUUGAAUUCACGUAGUUUAUAUAUAUAUAUACAAAAUUAUUAAAUAAUUUCAAAACACUAAAUCAAUAUUGUUAAUAUAUUAAUACGAUGUGUUAAUACCAAUAGGGUAUGAAUAAACAUAUUUAGAAUUAUUACUUUUGUAAGUAAAUAUAAGUAUGACAUAAAUGCAUUAUACUUACAAUACAAAUACACUAUCAUUACAAUAUAUUAUAACAUAAUUUAAUUUAUUUUUACUUAAUUUUUUUCAUGUACUAUUACCCAAUGAAUAAUUGUGAGUUAUUCCAUUUAAUAGGUGUGUGUUUGUCAAUUGAAUAUUUAUAUAUUAUUCAAUUGAUGAGUACUUGUAAAAAAUAAUUAUUCAUUAUAUUAUGAUAACAAAAUUUUUAAUUGUAUGUUUUAUAUAUAAAACGAUAUAAUAACUUUAGGAUAUGGUUUUUAUUUAUGAGAUAUUAAAAAUUAUUUUUUUACAAGGUUCUUUAAAAAAUCUCAAUUUUUUUGAAAAAAAAAACAGCAAAUUUUUAAACAGUCAAUUGUUCAAAAGUGACAACAAUUUGAAAUGUACUGUUGAUUGCCUAUCAACUGUACUUAUCAUCAUGUAUGAGCCUCAUAUCAUUUAUCAACUUGUACUUAUCAUCGUAUAUGAACCUCACAUCAUUAACAAUCUCAAUUUAUUUAUAAAUAAUAUAAAAAACAUAUUUAAGGGUAAAAUUGUCCUUAAAAAAAGUGAGUCUUCAUAGUCAUUAUUUUUUCUAAUCCAUACUUUUGGAUAAUUCUCCUUUUUUUUUUUUAAAUACUAUUUAAAAAAAUCACAAAUUUAUUUUUAAAAUAACCUACUUUUAGAAUAAAUUUUUAAAAUAUUAUUUUCAGUUAAAAUUUUUAUUAUUGAGCAUCUUGUCUCGGAAAAAAACUACAUCUAGGACUGGACUAAUAAUUUAAGCGAUACACAAUUAAUUUUAUUUUUUAUUAAAUUAUUUGUCAAAAUAAAAAAUAUUUUUUUAGUCAUUCCUUAUGAUGGUAUCACAUAUUUAUAUAUAAUACAAACAUUUUUUUAGUCAUGUUUUCAAUUAUUUUUUAAAAUGCCAUUUAAAAAAAUCACAAAUUUAUUUUUAAAAUAACCUACUUUUAGAAUAAAUUUUUAAAAUAUUAUUUUCAGUUAAAAUUUUUACUAUUUUUUUAAAUUAAAAACUAUUUCGAAGAGACCAUUUCAAAAGUACUAUAUAAGAUAUUGUAUUUUAAUUAUUAAAAUAUAUUAUUUAAAUAAAAGCUCUACUAAUUCGGCCCAGACUCAUGGUCCAAAGCGUGGAGGCUUCUGGCAAUAAUUUGCGAUGACUGGUCAAUGCUGAAGGGCAGACUUGACGGAUUCAACGUUGACUGGCGGCCGAGGGUGGCGGCCGAACCGCCACAACCAAAGAUAGAGAGGUAUUGGUUUUAGGGAUGGGCUUUUCCAUGUUGGGCUUAAUGUAUUCGUUUAAAUGUCUUUUUCGUGGGCCCCCAUUUGGUAAACAUUUAUUUGCAAUUCUGUCACGUCAGGAUGUUAAAGUGAUAGAAAAUUACGGAAUGUGGGUGCUAUGAUUGUUAUUCUUCGUAUUUUGGAAGUAUUGUGAAGUGGGGACUGUGGAAAAAUAAGUUUUUUAUUUGAUGAUCACGACUACUGUGUGCGCAUGGUUCGGAAGUCUUGAAAUUCUUUCAACAAACCCACUUGUGACGUUCACAGCCUCUCCUGCUUUCCCCCUUGAUACCCAAACAAACAAUGGAAUGGGUGUGUAGCCAUCUCCAUCAUUGAAUAAUUCCCCCCCUUGAUACCCAAACAAACGAUGGAAUGGGAAUGUACCCAUCUCCAUCAUUGAAUAAUGUACGAUAGAAUUUGGAUCGUUGUAAAACGAUGGUACAAAUAAAUACAUAUUAAAGUCAUAAAAUUCAAAAGCAUGUAUGUAUUACUAUCAGUUAUUAAUAGUCGUUUAAUCUUUAUCGAAACAAUACUUUUCGAUUGGGAUACAACUUGAACGAGGUGGACUCCAUUGAACCUAAGUCAUAAUCAAUAAUUGGACAAAUCGAUUUUGAUUCUUAAAUUGAUUGAUUCAUAGUAUACUUUUUCAACGUGAAUUCAAUUUGGAUCGAGAUUGGACUUGGGUUAAAAUUUAAAUAACUCGAACUUAAUCAAAACUCGAUUUAACAUUUGUAUCAUAUUUAUGAUGUGUAUUAUCCUAUAUAAUGAUAUUAAUUUUUUUUUUUGGAUUUAAAAUACAUUAUCAAAUUAUAAUUAUAUCAUUUUUUUUAGAAAGAUAUACAAAUUGGUUUUAUUUAUUUUUUAUUAUAUUAAACUUGAUUUCAUUUAUUGUUUCAUUUUUGCAUGCCAAAAUUUUGAAUUACUUCAAUUUUAAAAAAAAACAAGAUUAUGUUUGAACUUGAGUUAACUAUUAACUUGACUCAUCCCAUCAGGUAAAACCCGAGUAUCAUAUAAUCAUACUUAUUUUUUAAUAAUAAAAAACAUACUUAUUUUUUAAUAAUAAAAAACAACCUAUAUUUUAGGAAGGAUAUAAAUAAAUGAGAUUCGAAUAUAAAGUAACGGACCUAAAGAUUUGGUGACAUGAUUUGAUUUUGGUGAUAACUUUUCAAUUUAUAAUUUCUACCGUGCAACUCCCGUGGGAUUACACACUUUUUACAAUGAAAACGACCAGAAUUUGUUGGUAACCCAUGUGAAUUAGGCACGGCAAAUUCAGGAAAAAAAAAAUGCAAGCCCCACUUCUAUAGCGUGUGAAAACACCCUCAAGUGAUUGAGGUACUUGGGCCAGCCAAAACCCCAACUUUGACUCAUAAACGUUCUUCCACACAUGAUCUAAUGAGAACCAGCGAAGCAGCGACCAAGCUUCAUUGACUCAGGAGAGAGGAGCGAAGCUUCCCACUCUUCACACCCACGGAAUCUCUCGAAGCAUCGCGGAAAUUGAACUAAAUCUUAUCAGGGUAUUAGUUUCUCCUAAAUGUUCAAACGACGUCGUCUCCCACGUAGGGUUUUUUGCCAUUUUGUCCAUCUUUGCGUCUGGCUUUUGCUGACCAUAUACUUGACCCGGGGUUGACACGGUUUUUAUUGUAUCUAUAAAUAUUGGUGUUCCGGGGACUCACUCCACCACCAAUUUCACAACUUCUUACACAUCAACUUCCCUUUCUCCACUACCCUUCUUUUUCAGUCUCUGGUCUGGUAUAAUUUCCAUAAUUCAAUGGAGAUAAAGGUCUGUUGUCUCUCUGAUAUAGCUUUUUGUUUUUGAGUUUGUUCUGUUUUCCUUGAGGAAUAAGCUUGCAUGGCUGUGAUGGGUUGUGAUGGGUUUUGGCUGUUUGGUUGCUGAGAAACUGAGGAAAAGGAAAGGAAAGAAAAUAUUUAGGGGCCUUGUUGAAAAGCUUAACUCUUCUGUUCUACAAUCAGAAGAAUUGAGUUUUCUUGUUGUUUCUUUUCCUAAUUUUUCUCAGAAAUCAAACGGAGCAUUAAGGAAUUUGAAUAAGUUCUAUGGGUUUUGCUUUGCUUGAGCUCCUAUUCUCACUUUAGUAGGUUUUGUAAAGAUGAAAGUUUUCUAGGUCUUUUGAAUUUUUUUUUUUAUUGUUGAUGGUUGUUCCCCUUUUUCUUUUUCUCUGAAUCACAGCGUAUCUCAAGCUGUUCUUUAUUUUGUUGUGACAGAAAAUAAUCUUGAAGUUGGAGGUAUUCGAUGACAAAGCCAAGCAGAAGGCCAUGAAGAAUGUCUCUUCCCUUCCAGGUAUUGAAUCUGAAGUUAUUGCAAAAUUUACUCUAAUCCCUGUUUGGACCUUUGGUUUAUGUGAAAACUGAGCAAAUUUAAGAGUUUGUUUUCAUCCCAAAGACUAAAAAAUUCACGCAAUGUUUUGUUUGGCUUUCUCUUCUUUUUCUUACCCUUUCCCAUCAACCAAAUGGUUUAUUGAACUCACAGAAGAAAACCCAGUUCCUAAAAGCUUAAAAACUGCUCCAAUCUGAAUGGUUUUAAAUUGCAAUUUUGCAGGAGUUACUUCAAUCUCCGUGGAUAUGAAGGACAAGAAAUUGACUGUAAUCGGAGAUGUGGAUCCAGUAUGCAUAGUGAGCAAGUUGAGGAAGUUUUGCCGCACAGAGAUAUUAUCAGUUGGACCAGCAAAAGAGCCAGAGAAGAAGAAGGAGGAGCCUAAGAAAGAGGAGCCCAAGAAAGAAGAGAAGAAGGACGCUAAAGAACAAUUGGCUGAUCUUGUUAAAGCACACCAAGCCUUUUACCCUCAAUAUGCCCCACACUACUAUGUUAGAAGUGUGGAAGAAGACCCAAAUGCUUGUGUCAUUUGUUAAUCACCAGAUCAUAGAAGAACCCAAAAAGGCAAAAGCAAUGGUAUCGGUAUCUGUCUAUGGGUGAUUAUAGAUAUGGGCCUUCUAUAAU